UAACUACUUAUCAGACUAUUAAAUAUGGCCCCAUACGGGUUCCUCCUGCGGCAGUGGGGCCUAUCUCAGCUAAGAUCGUGAGAUGUUUUUGACCGCUAAUUUCCAGGGGCGCUGCCAGGAAAUGGUGUCAUGCAAAUGCUAGGAAUGCAAAGAAACCCAACGUCGUUAUUCAUCCGUCAGGCACAUCUAACGGAACUCUCCCGGUCUGUUGGAUCCAGACGUGAGGGCUUUCCAGCUGUCCAUGGCGCUCUCCUGAUCCAGACACGGGGCCAUCUCCAUGUGCCCUACAAUUACAAACGAGA
rnacentral:lncRNA from 1 species